rnacentral:tRNA from 1 species
AACAAGACGGAAGAGAGUCACUCUUACCGUCGCGCAUACCAAAAGCGGGUCUGCCGCCUUCGUUUCUCUUUCUUCAGCGAAUGACUUUGACUUGCGCUCGCGCGCCGUACCGCACCCUUCGGGUGCUGGCGCUCCGCGAGGGCGCGGCACGAGCCGCGACGGCCGGUCGGCCUUGCGAGACGUGCGUCUCGUUGGCGAAAGCCGAUCAAAGGCGCAGUCUAAGGGCUUGUAGCUCAGUUGGUUAGAGCGCGCGCUUGAUAAGCGUGAGGUCGGAGGUUCAAGUCCUCCCAGGCCCACCAUCUCCUCGAUCACCAUGUUCGGGAAACACUAUCAGGGGCCGUAGCUCAGCUGGGAGAGCGCCUGCUUUGCAAGCAGGAUGUCGUCGGUUCGAUCCCGUCCGGCUCCACCAAUGCGCGAUCUCGAAGAGAUCGUCGCUUCAACCACCCUCUUGCGAGGUUGGAUAAGCGCGAUCCGAAAGGAUCGUCGCGUCGAGGCGUCGAGUAGAGGCGGUGAGAAAAAAGUCAUUCGAAAAAGAGUUUGCGCCGAGCUUCUUGGCUCUGCGCCUGUUCUGUUUGACAUCGUAAAGAGAAGAUUUGUUCGAACUUCAUGGGUUCCGAAAGGGCCAUGAUUUGUCGCAAGGGACGCUCAAUCCCUUGCCUAUGAUGGGUUUGCCUAACCGCGCCCUCGAACCGAUCUCGAGAAGCUGGUCUUUUUGUG